rnacentral:rRNA from 1 species
AACGCUAGCUACAGGCUUAACACAUGCAAGUCGAGGGGCAUCAGGAAGAAAGCUUGCUUUCUUUGCUGGCGACCGGCGCACGGGUGAGUAACACGUAUCCAACCUGCCCUUUACUCGGGGAUAGCCUUUCGAAAGAAAGAUUAAUACCCGAUAGCAUAAUGAUUCCGCAUGGUUUCAUUAUUAAAGGAUUCCGGUAAAGGAUGGGGAUGCGUUCCAUUAGGUUGUUGGUGAGGUAACGGCCCACCAAGCCUUCGAUGGAUAGGGGUUCUGAGAGGAAGGUCCCCCACAUUGGAACUGAGACACGGUCCAAACUCCUACGGGAGGCAGCAGUGAGGAAUAUUGGUCAAUGGGCGCUAGCCUGAACCAGCCAAGUAGCGUGAAGGAUGAAGGCUCUAUGGGUCGUAAACUUCUUUUAUAUAAGAAUAAAGUGCAGUAUGUAUACUGUUUUGUAUGUAUUAUAUGAAUAAGGAUCGGCUAACUCCGUGCCAGCAGCCGCGGUAAUACGGAGGAUCCGAGCGUUAUCCGGAUUUAUUGGGUUUAAAGGGAGCGUAGGUGGACUGGUAAGUCAGUUGUGAAAGUUUGCGGCUCAACCGUAAAAUUGCAGUUGAUACUGUCAGUCUUGAGUACAGUAGAGGUGGGCGGAAUUCGUGGUGUAGCGGUGAAAUGCUUAGAUAUCACGAAAAACUCCGAUUGCGAAGGCAGCUCACUGGACUGCAACUGACACUGAUGCUCGAAAGUGUGGGUAUCAAACAGGAUUAGAUACCCUGGUAGUCCACACAGUAAACGAUGAAUACUCGCUGUUUGCGAUAUACAGUAAGCGGCCAAGCGAAAGCAUUAAGUAUUCCACCUGGGGAGUACGCCGGCAACGGUGAAACUCAAAGGAAUUGACGGGGGCCCGCACAAGCGGAGGAACAUGUGGUUUAAUUCGAUGAUACGCGAGGAACCUUACCCGGGCUUAAAUUGCAGUGGAAUGAUGUGGAAACAUGUCAGUGAGCAAUCACCGCUGUGAAGGUGCUGCAUGGUUGUCGUCAGCUCGUGCCGUGAGGUGUCGGCUUAAGUGCCAUAACGAGCGCAACCCUUAUCUUUAGUUACUAACAGGUUAUGCUGAGGACUCUAGAGAGACUGCCGUCGUAAGAUGUGAGGAAGGUGGGGAUGACGUCAAAUCAGCACGGCCCUUACGUCCGGGGCUACACACGUGUUACAAUGGGGGGUACAGAAGGCAGCUAGCGGGUGACCGUAUGCUAAUCCCAAAAUCCUCUCUCAGUUCGGAUCGAAGUCUGCAACCCGACUUCGUGAAGCUGGAUUCGCUAGUAAUCGCGCAUCAGCCACGGCGCGGUGAAUACGUUCCCGGGCCUUGUACACACCGCCCGUCAAGCCAUGGGAGCCGGGGGUACCUGAAGUACGUAACCGCAAGGAUCGUCCUAGGGUAAAACUGGCGAC